rnacentral:lncRNA from 1 species
UUUUCGGCACGGGAUUUAAGGAGUUGUAGAUUAAUGUUUUAAGUGUGUAAUAAUAAAGUGAUAAAGUAGGAGAGAGAAAGUAAUAAAGGGAUAAAGUAAGAAAGAGAAGGUAAUAAAGUGAUAAAGUAGAAGAGAGAAGGUAAUAAAAAAAUACUUAAUUAGUGUUAAUUAAGUGUUUAAAAUUCCUUAUUUUUGCCAAAUAUAGAAAUGUAGCAUCUUCGUUGGGACGGCCCAAAAAGGAAUAUGUAGCAUCUUGGGCGGGACGGAGGGAGUAU